rnacentral:rRNA from 1 species
UACAGAGGUCCCAAGCGUUGUUCGGAUUCACUGGGCGUAAAGGGUGCGUAGGCGGUCGGGUAAGUUUGAUGUGAAAUCUCUGGGCUUAACCCAGAAAUGGCAUUGAAUACUAUUCGGCUAGAGAGUCGGAGGGGGGACUGGAAUACUUGGUGUAGCAGUGAAAUGCGUAGAUAUCAAGUGGAACACCAGUGGCGAAGGCGAGUCCCUGGACGAUUUCUGACGCUGAGGCACGAAAGCUAGGGGAGCAAACAGGAUUAGAAACCCCAGUAGUCC